rnacentral:tRNA from 1 species
UCCCUGGUGGCCUACUGGUUAAGGAUUCAGCAUUGUCACUGCUGUGGUGCAGGUUCAAUCCCUGGCCCAGGAA